AUUUGUUAUCGAAUAAUCAGUGACUAAACCCCUUCCCGGGAGUCAAGGAGAGCAUGGUGUUAUUGGAUCGGCGAGAAGAAUUCCUUUAAAUGAUAUUGCUAACGUUGGUUCUUCAUCUUUGAAAAUAGGAAAAUCAUCACCGACAACAAGUUCGUUGAAG